rnacentral:rRNA from 1 species
AUGAGGUACUCUGAUAAGCGGUUCUUCCCAGCUAAUGCCACGGUAGACCUGGCGGCAUACUUGCGCUCUGGAAAAUCAAGAGGGAAGGGAGCCAUCAUAGGAGGAAUUUUGGGAGGUGUAGCCUUCCUGUUGCUUCUAGGGUUACUAGCUUUGUUGUGGAUCCGUCGUUCUAGGAAGCUGCAGAAGCCUCGGAGAGGUGAUAUACUUGGAGCAACGGAACUACAAGGUCCAACCAGUUUUUACUAUCAUGAUCUUAAGGUUGCAACCAAUAAUUUCAGUGAGAAAAAUAAACUUGGAGAAGGUGGUUUUGGAGAUGUAUUUAAGGGUUUGCUGAAAAAUGGGAAAACUGUUGCAGUAAAAAGAUUGACAGUAAUGCAAACCAGCAGGGCCAAAGCAGAUUUUGAAAGUGAGGUGAAGUUGAUUAGCAAUGUUCAUCACCGAAAUCUUGUAAGGCUUCUUGGUUGUUCUCGCAAGGGUUCCGAAUGCCUGCUUGUUUAUGAAUAUAUGGCGAACAAUAGCCUUGACAAGUUCCUCUUCGGUGAGAGACGUGGAACACUUAACUGGAAGCAACGAUUUAACAUCAUUGUUGGCAUGGCUCGUGGCCUUGCGUAUCUUCAUGAAGAGUUCCAUGUGUGUAUCAUACACCGUGAUAUUAAAUCUAGCAAUGUUCUUCUUGAUGAUGACUUUCAGCCUAAGAUUGCUGAUUUUGGUUUGGCAAGGCUCCUACCUGAUGAUCAUAGCCAUCUCAGCACUAAAUUUGCAGGAACACUGGGUUACACUGCUCCUGAGUACGCAAUCCAUGGCCAACUAUCAGAGAAGGUUGACACAUACAGCUUUGGCGUAGAAAUAAUAAGUGGUCGGAAGAGCAAUGAUACAAAGCUGGAGCCUGAAACACAGUACCUACUUGAAUCGGCAUGGAAGUUAUAUGAAAAUGAGAACUUGAUUAGCUUGGUGGACGAAUCGUUGGAUCGUGAAGAAUACAAGCCAGAAGAGGUAAAGAAAAUAAUAGAGAUAGCACUUCUGUGCACUCAAUCAGUGGUUGCUUCAAGGCCAACGAUGUCAGAGGUGGUUGUGUUGUUGUUGUCAAGAAAUUCUUCAGAAUUACAGCCCACAAGGCCCACAUUUAUUGAUUCAACAAGUAGAGUGCGAGGUGAAACAUCCUCCUCAAGUUCAUCCUCUGCAUCCAGGGCCACUGUCUCUAUUUCACAGUUUUCAGCCAGUUUUCAUGAAUGUCUACAGAAAGUAAGCUACAGCACUUGGAACUCUGCAGGCAUCCUUUCUGAUAAGCUAAGUAUUGAGUAA